ensembl:lncRNA
CAGGGACUGCUGAUCAGGUUAGAUGGGCCCUUGUCCAAAGCAGAUUGGAUCUCUUUUCAGCUGUUUCAGCAGAGAGGAUCAGAAAUGACAGAGGAAGAAGAGAAGAAAUUGUUUCUCUCAAUUCAUCCAGUAUCUUUUCUGUCAUUCAAAGGGAUCCUUCUCCCAGAUCACUGAGACAGCUACCUCUGGAGAAACACUACUUCCAGGGCAAGACCUGGGUGAGAUUUCUUAUAAAGCAAGCUGGAAAAUCUUAUAUACAAUCUGAUGUCCAUGGAGCCUCGUUAGCCGGCAAGAACUCACUGCCAGAGAGAGCAGAGAGGCUGAGAUCUCAGCACGACUCAGAAUGGAAAUUACUGUUGGUGAUGGGAACGUCCAGAGAGAUGAUGCUGAGCCCUUUGGAGCCAAGCCCCGUUAGGGUUUCACCCAUGAUCUUUGCUGUCGCCACACUUGAUGGGUGAAACAUCACACGAUGACAAUGGGGUGAGCCCAGGCUCUUCUUGUCCCCAAGUUCUUUUUCUGCAGCUAUUCAUGGGUCAGAGGAGGUCAUUUGGGUUUUCCAGCCAUAACCUCCUGCCUAGUUCACUAAAAGGCCUAUAAAUAAAGUCUCAUUUGUCACUCCUUCAUGAAC